rnacentral:misc_RNA from 1 species
UCCUUUGUAUUAUCAAACGUUUCUAAAAUGUUUGGAAAAACAUUUGAGAAAAGUAAUAUUAUUUCAUGAUAUUACCUUCUUAAAAAUGAUAUAUAUACGAUUUGGAUUUUCUUUCUUAACCUCAUUUUGUACAUGAUAACAAAUGAGCAUGAAUUAAAAAUCCAUGCCUUUUC